rnacentral:misc_RNA from 1 species
GCUGGUCCUUUCGAGGGCAUGUGCUCGCCGUGUCAUCUUUAUCUCUCCACCUGUGCACGUUUUGUAGACCUGGAUUAGUUAACUUUCCGAGGCAACUCGGUCGGGAGGAUUGCUCAACGGCUUUCCUUGCAAUUGAACCAGGCCUAUGUUUUCAUAUACCCCAAAGAAUGUAACAGAAUGUAUCAUAUGGCCUUGUGCCUAUAAACUAUAUACAACUUUCAGCAACGGAUCUCUUGGCUCUCGCAUCGAUGAAGAACGCAG